CACCGCGGUUAUACGAGAGGCCCAAGCUGACAGUUGCCGGCGUAAAGAGUGGUUAAUUAACUCACAAAACUAAAGCCGAACAUCUCCAAAGUUGUACAACGCACUCGAAGGUAUGAAGAUCGACCACGAAAGUAGCUUUACAUUCUUUGAACCCACGAAAGCUAGGAAA
rnacentral:rRNA from 1 species